rnacentral:rRNA from 1 species
GACCAAGAGACCGGCGCACGGGUGCGUAACGCGUAUGCAAUCUACCUUUCACAGAGGGAUAGCCCAGAGAAAUUUGGAUUAAUACCUCGUAGCAUUAUGGAGUGGCAUCACUUUAUAAUUAAAGUCACAACGGUGAAAGAUGAGCAUGCGUCCCAUUAGCUAGUUGGUAAGGUAACGGCUUACCAAGGCUACGAUGGGUAGGGGUCCUGAGAGGGAGAUCCCCCACACUGGUACUGAGACACGGACCAGACUCCUACGGGAGGCAGCAGUGAGGAAUAUUGGACAAUGGGCGCAAGCCUGAUCCAGCCAUGCCGCGUGCAGGAUGACGGUCCUAUGGAUUGUAAACUGCUUUUGUACAGGAAGAAACAACUCUACGUGUAGAGUCUUGACGGUACCAGAGGAAUAAGCACCGGCUAACUCCGUGCCAGCAGCCGCGGUAAUACGGAGGGUGCAAGCGUUAUCCGGAUUUACUGGGUUUAAAGGGUGCG